rnacentral:rRNA from 1 species
ACUCCUACGGGAGGCAGCAGUGGGGAAUUUUGGACAAUGGGGGCAACCCUGAUCCAGCAAUGCCGCGUGAGUGAAGAAGGCCUUCGGGUUGUAAAGCUCUUUUGUCAGGGAAGAAACGGUGGUGGCGAAUAACUACUACUAAUGACGGUACCUGAAGAAUAAGCACCGGCUAACUACGUGCCAGCAGCCGCGGUAAUACGUAGGGUGCAAGCGUUAAUCGGAAUUACUGGGCGUAAAGCGUGCGCAGGCGGUUGUGUAAGUCAGAUGUGAAAUCCCCGGGCUCAACCUGGGAAUUGCAUUUGAGACUGCACGGCUAGAGUGUGUCAGAGGGGGGUAGAAUUCCACGUGUAGCAGUGAAAUGCGUAGAUAUGUGGAGGAAUACCGAUGGCGAAGGCAGCCCCCUGGGAUAACACUGACGCUCAUGCACGAAAGCGUGGGGAGCAAACAGGAUUAGAAACCCCGGUAGUCCC